GAGCACUUCCAUGUCACCCCGAAUGCUAGCGGCUCCUGAAUGAGGGGUACGAGUGUGUUAGCGAGGUAAAAGGCUGAAGUGACAACACCUCUGGGACUGAUCCCCAGUGCACAAAACUUCCAUGGUGGUGUGUGCAGUUCCAAGGCCCACUUGAGCUACUCUUGGUGAUGUCAGCGGAGAAUUUCCACGGCACCUAAAAAACAAGAGUUUCAAUUGUAUAAAGAAAUCCAUGUGUGACAGAACCUUUACACGAGGUAACAUGCGGAUCUG